UUUCACAUUUGUAUCUAUUCUCCAUGCGCGGAAAACAAUGAGGUGAGAUUGUAACGUUGCACUGGCUUGGGGCACGGGGGGCCUACGGGAGGCAGCAGUGGGGAAUAUUGCUCAAUGGGCGCAAGCCUGAUGCAGCCACGCCGCGUGUUGAAGAAGGCCUUCGGGUUGUAAAGUACUUUCAGCGGGGAGGAAGGCGAUAAGGUUAAUAACCUGUCGAUGACGUACUCCGUAGAAGAGAAAAGCAUUUAGG
rnacentral:rRNA from 1 species